CCUACGGGAGGCAGCAGUGGGGGAUAUUGCACAAUGGGGGGAACCCUGAUGCAGCGACGCCGCGUGGGUGAAGAAGCGCCUCGGCGCGUAAAGCCCUGUCAGCAGGGAAGAAAAUGACGGUACCUGAAGAAGAAGCCCCGGCUAACUACGUGCCAGCAGCCGCUGUAAUACGUAGGGGGCAAGCGUUAGCCGGAUUUACUGGGUGGAAAGGGGGCGCAGACGGCGAUGCAAGCCAGGAGUGAAAGCCCGGGGCCCAACCCCGGGACUGCUCUUGGAACUGCGUGGCUGGAGUGCAGGAGGGGCAGGCGGAAUUCCUGGUGGAGCGGUGAAAUGCGUAGAUAUCAGGAGGAACACCGGUGGCGAAGGCGGCCUGCUGGACUGCAACUGACGUUGAGGCCCGAAAGCGUGGGGAGCAAACAGGAUUAGAUACCCCUGUAGUC
rnacentral:rRNA from 1 species